AUGGAAGAAGAAAUUGAUGAAACAUUGAGCUCAUUGGAUGAAAAAGAUGAGGAGGAUAGCGAAGAACAAAAGGAGGAAGAAUGGAUUAGCUACCCGUGCCCACCUUCUAAUGAGAGUAACUCUUCAACUCAUACAUUGUUUAAUUUCCCUUCGUGCUUACCGAAGGAUGAUUGCUAUGAUGAUUGUUAUGAUCCCAUUGAUUCUCUUGAAAUAUCCCUUUUUGAUGAUGCUUGCUAUGCUUGUGACCAAGAUGCCAAUAUGAAUUAUGCUUAUGGAUAUGAACUUGCUAUAGUUCCUUAUGUUAAACAUGAAAUUGUUGCUAUUGCACCCACGCAUGAUAGUCCUAUUAUCUUUUUGAAUUCUCCCGACUACACUAUAUUGGAGAAGUUUGCACUUAUUAAGGAUUAUAUUGAUGGGUUGCCUUUUAUCGUUGCACAUGAUGAUUUUGAUGAAUAUAAUAUGCAUGUGCUUGCUGCUCGUACUUGCAAUUAUUAUGAGAGAGGAACUAUAUCUCCACCUCUCUAUGUUUCCAAUAUGAUAAAAUUACAAGAAACUGUUUAUACUAUGCAUUGGCCUUUACUAUGUGUGCAUGAAUUGUUCUUUUAUGACAUGCCGAUGCAUAGAAAGAUAGUUAGACUUCGUUGUUGUAUGAUAUAUGUUACUUUGUGCUCACUACUAAAUUACAAAUCAUUGUUAAUUAAAAUUGGCUUUGAUAUACCUUGGGAUCCGGGUGGAUUCAUUACUUGA
rnacentral:rRNA from 1 species